ACUUCCUGAGCCGGAACGAAAAGUCUUUAAGAAUGAGAGUUCUGGAGGGCUUUUGGCUUACGGUUGUGAUGUUGUGUUGUUGUGUUUGCAUUUGGUCUGCGAUUCAGACCAUCGUAGCUAAGCUACUCUUUCACUUCCUGUACAUUUACCCUGUCUGUCCAUAGUGAUUAAUGUAGCACCGCACUUUGCGGUGCUUUUUUUU
rfam:Cronobacter sakazakii ATCC BAA-894, complete genome.